rnacentral:rRNA from 3 species
UACGGAGGGAGCUAGCGUUGUUCGGAAUUACUGGGCGUAAAGCGCACGUAGGCGGCUUUGUAAGUUAGAGGUGAAAGCCCGGGGCUCAACCCCGGAAUUGCCUUUAAGACUGCAUCGCUUGAAUCCGGGAGAGGUGAGUGGAAUUCCGAGUGUAGAGGUGAAAUUCGUAGAUAUUCGGAAGAACACCAGUGGCGAAGGCGGCUCACUGGACCGGUAUUGACGCUGAGGUGCGAAAGCGUGGGGAGCAAACAGG